ACGGCUCAGUAACACGUCGACAAUCUGCCUUUAGGCCAGGGAUAACGUCGGGAAACUGACGCUAAAACCUGAUAGAGGAUUUCUACUGGAAUGUGUUUUCCUUCAAAGCUUCGGCACCUAAAGAUGAGUCGGCGGCUGAUUAGGCUGUUGGUGAGGUAACGGCUCACCAAACCUUUGAUCAGUAGGGGGGAUGAAAGUCCUAACCCCGAGAAGGGCACUGAGAUACUGGCCCUAGUCCUAAGGGAUGCAGCGGCCACGGGACCUUUACAAUGCACGAAAGUGUGAUAAGGGGAUUCCAAGUGCUUUACCACACGGUAAGGCUUUUGCUAAGCGAAAACAACUUGGCGAAUAAGUGGUGGGUAAGACCGGUGCCAGCAGCCGCGGUAAUCCCGGCGCCACAAGUGGCAAUCAUUAUUAUUGGGUCUAAAGCAUCCGUAGCUGGUUUAGUUAGUUUUCUGUGAAAUUGUUAGGCUUAACCUAACAACGUGCAGGAAAUACUGCUAGACUUGAGACCGGGAGGGGAUAGAAGUAUUCCUGGGGGAGCGGUAAAAUGUGUUAAUCCUAGGAGGACUACCUAUGGCGAAGGCAUCUAUCCAGAACGGGUCUGACAGUGGAGGGAUGAAGGCUAGGAGAACGAUCGGGAUUAGAUACCCCAGUAGCCCUAGCAGUAAACGCUGUGAGCUAUGUGUUGCAUAUUCUCCGGAAUGUGCAGUGCCGAAGCGAAGNCAUUAAGCUCACCACCUGGGNAAGUACGGUCGCAAGAUUGAAACUUAAAGGAAUUGGCGGGGG
rnacentral:rRNA from 1 species